AGUGAACGCUGGCGGUAGGCCUAACACAUGCAAGUCGAACGGCAGCACAGUAAGAGCUUGCUCUUACGGGUGGCGAGUGGCGGACGGGUGCGGAAUACAUCGGAAUCUACUUUUUCGUGGGGGCUAACGUAGGGAAACUUACGCUAAUACCGCAUACGACCUACGGGUGAAAGCAGGGGAUCUUCGGACCUUGCGCGAUUGAAUGAGCCGAUGUCGGAUUAGCUAGUUGGCGGGGUAAAGGCCCACCAAGGCGACGAUCCGUAGCUGGUCUGAGAGGAUGAUCAGCCACACUGGAACUGAGACACGGUCCAGACUCCUACGGGAGGCAGCAGUGGGGAAUAUUGGACAAUGGGCGCAAGCCUGAUCCAGCCAUACCGCGUGUGUGAAGAAGGCCUUCGGGUUGUAAAGCCCUUUUGUUGGGAAAGAAAAGCAGCAGGUUAAUACCCCGCUGUUCUGACGGUACCCAAAGAAUAAGCACCGGCUAACUUCGUG
rnacentral:rRNA from 1 species